CCUACGGGUGGCAGCAGUGAGGAAUAUUGGUCAAUGGACGAGAGUCUGAACCAGCCAAGUAGCGUGAAGGAUGACUGCCCUCUGGGUUGUAAACUUCUUUUAUAUGGGAAUAAAACGUUCCACGUGUGGGAUUUUGUAUGUACCAUAUGAAUAAGGAUCGGCUAACUCCGUGCCAGCAGCCGCGGUAAUACGGAGGAUCCGAGCGUUAUCCGGAUUUAUUGGGUUUAAAGGGAGCGUAGGUGGAUUGUUAAGUCAGCUGUGAAAGUUUGCGGCUCAACCGUAAAAUUGCAGUUGAAACUGGCAGUCUUGAGUACAGUAGAGGUGGGCGGAAUUCGUGGUGUAGCGGUGAAAUGCUUAGAUAUCACGAAGAACUCCGAUUGCGAAGGCAGUUCACUGGACUGCAACUGACACUGAGGCUCGAAAGUGUGGGUAUCAAACAGGAUUAGAUACCCGAGUAGUC
rnacentral:rRNA from 1 species